rnacentral:rRNA from 1 species
UUAAGGUCUAACCUGCCCAAUGAAUAAUUAAAUGGUCGCAGUAUUUUGACUGUGCAAAGGUAGCAUAAUUAUUAGUUUUUUAAUUGAAAGCUUGUAUGAAAGGUUGGACGAAAUAAAAUCUGUCUUUAUUUAAAUAAAAAUAAAAUUUAACUUUUAAGUUAAAAGGCUUAAAUAUUUAUAAAAGACGAGAAGACCCUAUAGAUCUUUAUUUAAUAAGAAUUUUUUAAAUUUAGGAAUAGUUUUUAUUUAAAUUUUAAUUGAAUUGUAUUGGGGUAAUAUAAAGAUUAAAUAAAUUCUUUUUAUUUAUAACAUAAAUUUAUGAAUAUGUGAUCCAUUAUUUUUGAUUAUAAGAUUAAGUUACCUUAGGGAUAACAGCGUAAUUUUUUUGGAGAGUUCUUAUCGAUAAAAAAGUUUGCGACCUCGAUGUUGGAUUAAAAAUUAUUUUAGGUGUAGAAGCUUAAAAAUUUGGUCUGUUCGACC